AAUCCAUAGGUUAAUGAGGCGAACCGGGGGAACUGAAACAUCUAAGUACCCCGAGGAAAAGAAAUCAACCGAGAUUCCCCCAGUAGCGGCGAGCGAACGGGGAGGAGCCCAGAGCCUGAAUCAGCAUGUGUGUUAGUGGAAGCGUCUGGAAAGGCGCGCGAUACAGGGUGACAGCCCCGUACACAAAAGCGCAUGUGCUGUGAGCUCGAUGAGUAGGGCGGGACACGUGGUAUCCUGUCUGAAUAUGGGGGGACCAUCCUCCAAGGCUAAAUACUCCUGACUGACCGAUAGUGAACCAGUACCGUGAGGGAAAGGCGAAAAGAACCCCGGCGAGGGGAGUGAAAAAGAACCUGAAACCGUGUACGUACAAGCAGUGGGAGCCCCACCACCAAAGCAUUCUCUGGUGUUGAAGGCCCUGCAAAGCAGCAUCGCGGUGGCGGAGCGUCGUUUGCGACGCCCAACACACAAAACAAGCGGUGAGUGCUUUGGGGUGGGGUGACUGCGUACCUUUUGUAUAAUGGGUCAGCGACUUAUAUUCUGUAGCAAGGUUAACCGAAUAGGGGAGCCGGAGGGAAACCGAGUCUUAAUUGGGCGUUAAGUUGCAGGGUAUAGACCCGAAACCCGGUGAUCUAGCCAUGGGCAGGUUGAAGGUUGGGUAACACUAACUGGAGGACCGAACCGACUAAUGUUGAAAAAUUAGCGGAUGACCUGUGGCUGGGGGUGAAAGGCCAAUCAAACCGGGAGAUAGCUGGUUCUCCCCGAAAGCUAUUUAGGUAGCGCCUCGUGAAUUCAUCUCCGGGGGUAGAGCACUGUUUCGGCUAGGGGGCCAUCCCGGCUUACCAACCCGAUGCAAACUGCGAAUACCGGAGAAUGUUAUCACGGGAGACACACGGCGGGUGCUAACGUCCGUCGUGAAGAGGGAAACAACCCAGACCGCCAGCUAAGGUCCCAAAGUCAUGGUUAAGUGGGAAACGAUGUGGGAAGGCCCAGACAGCCAGGAUGUUGGCUUAGAAGCAGCCAUCAUUUAAAGAAAGCGUAAUAGCUCACUGGUCGAGUCGGCCUGCGCGGAAGAUGUAACGGGGCUAAACCAUGCACCGAAGCUGCGGCAGCGACACUGUGUGUUGUUGGGUAGGGGAGCGUUCUGUAAGCCUGUGAAGGUGGCCUGUGAGGGUUGCUGGAGGUAUCAGAAGUGCGAAUGCUGACAUAAGUAACGAUAAAGCGGGUGAAAAGCCCGCUCGCCGGAAGACCAAGGGUUCCUGUCCAACGUUAAUCGGGGCAGGGUGAGUCGACCCCUAAGGCGAGGCCGAAAGGCGUAGUCGAUGGGAAACGGGUUAAUAUUCCCGUACUUGGUGUUACUGCGAAGGGGGGACGGAGAAGGCUAUGUUGGCCGGGCGACGGUUGUCCCGGUUUAAGCGUGUAGGUGUGUGUUCCAGGUAAAUCCGGUUCACUUUAACACUGAGGCGUGACGACGAGGCACUACGGUGCUGAAGCAACAAAUGCCCUGCUUCCAGGAAAAGCCUCUAAGCAUCAGGUAACAUCAAAUCGUACCCCAAACCGACACAGGUGGUCAGGUAGAGAAUACCAAGGCGCUUGAGAGAACUCGGGUGAAGGAACUAGGCAAAAUGGUGCCGUAACUUCGGGAGAAGGCACGCUGACACGUAGGUGAAGUGAUUUACUCAUGGAGCUGAAGUCAGUCGAAGAUACCAGCUGGCUGCAACUGUUUAUUAAAAACACAGCACUGUGCAAACACGAAAGUGGACGUAUACGGUGUGACGCCUGCCCGGUGCCGGAAGGUUAAUUGAUGGGGUCAGCGCAAGCGAAGCUCCUGAUCGAAGCCCCGGUAAACGGCGGCCGUAACUAUAACGGUCCUAAGGUAGCGAAAUUCCUUGUCGGGUAAGUUCCGACCUGCACGAAUGGCGUAAUGAUGGCCAGGCUGUCUCCACCCGAGACUCAGUGAAAUUGAACUCGCUGUGAAGAUGCAGUGUACCCGCGGCAAGACGGAAAGACCCCGUGAACCUUUACUAUAGCUUGACACUGAACAUUGAGCCUUGAUGUGUAG
rnacentral:rRNA from 1 species